CUGGCAACCAGACGUGAGAAUCUUGGCCCUGCCGCUGACUGCGGAGCGGACUCAUUGCUAUGCAGGAGCAGGGGUGAGCUGUAAAACCGAUGUCUUGCCACAUAUCAUGGUGAGCCGGGGAAGGCAGGAACACAUUUUCACCGGGAUGUUUACAGUUAUAAGUUAUUGUAUGUGGCUGCGAGGGGAGCGCUGGGUGAGAUGAGGAUGUAGCCCGGAGCUUCCGCUGUUCCUGUAAACCAGCGCUCAGACUCCCCUUGUGAAUUUGCUGUCAUCCAAUGAAUAAACAACAAACAGAAGAUUCGGCAAGCAGAAGGGAGUUCCUGUAAACGGUUCCUCUAAAGUUCCUGAGUUCCUGUUCCUGUAAACUCAAGAAGUUAGAGGGACACACGCCAGUCCACGUGUAACACGAUUUGCCACUGGUUAGAAAACACGAGAGAGACUGUUACUUCUAAACAACCUGAAGUGAAAAAAAUAUUUUACCUGCAUUAUUCCCCCUUUCCUCUGCAUUAUUCUGCUCUUAUCAAGUUAAGCAUUACAUAAGAGGCAGACGUGGUCUUAUUAUAGCGUUUCAUAACACAAACUUUUUGAAGUGGCAUAUUAUUUUCAGAUUACACUGGCAUCUCUGCUAUCUGUCGUGCUGGAUUCCAUAAGAUUUUUGCAUUGCGGUAAUGACUGAGCAUUACCGGGGCUAAAGUUUAAGACCGGUGUUCAGUUCUCAUAUGUAUGCUUGACCCUGUGUGCACUGUGAUUGAUUUUCGAUGGAGUAGAAAUGCCACAGGGACCUUCCUUUCCAGCUGAACAGGAAAAGUGAUAAUCGUUGAUUCCAAAAACGCAUUACGUUCCAGCGCAUUCUCGAUUAAUGUCAGGUUCAUCUAGGAGUCUUAACACAUAGGUGGAGUGUGGAGGAAUAGAACAGGAAAUGAAAACAUCUUCUAUAAUAAAAUAAAAAAAUCUUAAUUUGAAAUGUAAGCCCUGGAGGUUUGUCAUAUCAGCAAGGAGUCUUAUAAGAACAGAAUGAAUGGAAAAUUGGUAAUGGAAACAGAGUGGAAUUUGAAAAAAAAUCCCGGAAGUCUUUAUAUAAUAUCUGUCAUAUUUAGUCAUUAUUUACAAACACA